UCCCCACCACUCCAGUAGCGGCGGGAGCAGCAGCGUUAGGCCGGGGUGUGGCUGCACCUCUGCGAAGGCUGUCGUGCCCCGUGCAGCUGCGGCGUUCGGGUGGGGGAGGGGAGGCUCACACCCUGCGGCGGCUUAAGCCUGGAUUUACGCACUGGAGGAGGGAAUUAGCCCUGAGAUGUCAGCCCUGUGCCCCUGGCGCUGUCCACCCGGACGCCCGCGGAGCGCCAGGCGCCGCAGCGGACCGCGCGCGCACUGAUUGCCGCAGCUACUCUCCCUGCCGUCGCCGCCCGGGACCGGGUGACAUUGAGGUUUUCGUCUAUCGCCGCUGGGCCGAUAGGGCUUCUUUUUAAGAUUUGGCUUUCCAAGUAAGAUUUUUGUUUGCCUGCUUUUCUCCUGGAAUUUUUUUGUUUUUGGUCGAAGAAGCAGGUAACUUGCAUAUCUUAAGGAAAACAUUGUUUUUGCUUUGCUUUUGUUGUUUAAAGAUCCUAAAACGUACCGUGAUUCCUUUACGUUACUAAUAAUUGGAAAGUGUGUUAAAUCAAGGGUUCGCUUAAUGUUCUUUAGCCUUUGUACAUAGAAUAUAUAAAUGUCGUGAGUCAUCUUUACGAGGUU
rnacentral:lncRNA from 1 species